rnacentral:rRNA from 1 species
CCUACGGGGGACUGCAGUGAGGAAUAUUGGUCAAUGGACGAGAGUCUGAACCAGCCAAGUAGCGUGAAGGAUGACUGCCCUAUGGGUUGUAAACUUCUUUUAUCUGGGAAUAAAAUGUUCCACGUGUGGGAUUUUGUAUGUACCAUAUGAAUAAGGAUCGGCUAACUCCGUGCCAGCAGCCGCGGUAAUACGGAGGAUCCGAGCGUUAUCCGGAUUUAUUGGGUUUAAAGGGAGCGUAGGUGGAUUGUUAAGUCAGUUGUGAAAGUUUGCGGCUCAACCGUAAAAUUGCCGUUGAAACUGGCAGUCGUGAGUACAGGAGAGGUGCGCGGAAUGCGUGGUGUAGCGGUGAAAUGCUUAGAUAUCACGAAGAACUCCGAUUGCGAAGGCAGCGCACUGGACUGCAACUGACACUGAGGCUCGAAAGUGUGGGUAUCAAACAGGAUUAGAUACCCUUGUAGUC